AAGCGGACAAUAUAGCGGAGUUUUGCUCGAACGCUGCAGCCCAUGGCCCAGACGAUUUGUGUGUUUGGCAUGCUUUCGGUCCAGAUACUCUGAUCUGAUCUUAUCUGAUGAAGUAGUUAUAAGUUUUUUCUAUUUUUAACCAAACAUAGCCUCAAAUUUUAAAAGGUUCAACUAUGAUACGGAAAAGAUAUAACAUCUGAAAAACUUCUGACCAGUCAAUUGGAAUCAUAAAUAUGAUAGCCAUUUCAUUGGUUGGCUUUGAUUGGUCAAAAUUCUUCCCAUACUAUAUAUUUUCCCAUCAUAGAUUUAAAAUCAGAAGAACUGCAAUGCAUCAUUAUUCUGGAGAGGGAAGAAAGAAUAAAAAGGAUGAAGCGAAGGUUUGGAGGAGGGAGGCAACCAACUGGGACGCCGUCACUCGCAUGGUCCUGCAUCGUUGUUAUUGUUUCGCUUCUAGCAGGUGCCUCUGUCAUCCACAACGUCUUCAACCCUGAUCUGGCACUGCCCCCGUGGAGAGCGUAUUUGGAGCGAAACAAAACCAGCCGACGCAAAAAUGAAUGGUUUUGCUUGAAAACCCAAGUAUGUCAUUCGGGUUUAAAUCGACACCGAAAUCAUCAGAGAAAUGUGUUUCAAAAAGACUAAUCAUAUUGGAAUUGUUCCUUCCUUUUUUCCUUAUUUUCUUAAUUAGGGGUUCCACCAUGGAAUUGUGUCUCAAUGGGACGGUCUUUGGUAUAGGAUGAAUGGUCCAAUAAUUGCAUCAAGUUACUUUGUUUCGUAUCAGUGGCAUGGGUAGAGAAAAUGAUCAGAAGAGGGCAUUACUUCA